AUUCUCGGGGUUUGACGGUCCUGAUAUUCAACUUUCUUUUGUUCCUGAGUUUGAAAACACACCCCAAUUAUUUCCAUGUCUUAGCCUUGAGGAUGAAGAGAAAAUUUAACUGUCUGAAGACUGACAGUUGCCAGCACUAUCUCAGCUCCUCCUAAACUUCUAUCAAUAUUAUGGAACUGACUUUACAGAAAUAUGGAAGUUAUGAAAAAUUUGAACAAGCCACUGGUGGUAGCUUGCUCUCUAAAACUCGAAUCUGGAGUCACGUUAGGAAGUACAUGAUGAAGGAAGGCUGCCUAGGGGAGAUUGUAGUUCAUCUCACUGAGGACCUGCUUUCCCGAGCGUCAAUGACAGUAGUAAAUGGAUGUCCGACUCUGACUAUCAAUGUGUCCACUGCACGUGAGCAUUGGCUGGAGGGAAUGCUGAGGCAUGAAAUAGGUACACAUUAUUUUCGAGGUAUUAACAACCUCCAGCAGCCAUGGAACAGUUGGACUGGACGUAAAAAACAUGAGCUAAAGCCAAAUAAUCCCACAGAGGAAGGACUAGCAAGCAUUCACAGUGUUCUGUUUAGAAAAGACCCUUUUUUAUGGAGGGCUGCCCUCCUCUACUACACUGUUUAUCAAGCCAGCCAAAUGUCUUUUUGUGAACUCUUCAAAGAUAUUGGCAGGUUUGUCAAGGACCCCAAUACAAGAUGGGAUUAUUGUGUACGGGCCAAGAGGGGAUGGACUGAUACUUCCCAACCAG
rnacentral:sRNA from 1 species